UGAGGAAUAUUGCGCAAUGGAGGCAACUCUGACGCAGCCAUGCCGCGUGCAGGAAGAAGGCGCUACGCGUUGUAAACUGCUUUUAUCCGGGAAGAAACCCCUCCACGUGUGGAGGGUUGACGGUACCGGAGGAAUAAGCACCGGCUAACUUCGUGCCAGCAGCCGCGGUAAUACGAAGGGUGCAAGCGUUAUCCGGAUUCAUUGGGUUUAAAGGGUGCGUAGGCGGAACAAUAAGUCAGCGGUGAAAGCCCGUAGCUUAACUACGGAAUUGCCGUUGAUACUGUUGUUCUUGAGUACGCUUGACGUGGGCGGAAUGUGCCGUGUAGCGGUGAAAUGCUUAGAUAUGGCACAGAACACCGAUAGUGAAGACAGCUCACGAAGGCGAAACUGACGCUGAGGCACGAAAGCGUGGGGAGCAAACA
rnacentral:rRNA from 1 species